UUGACGUCUUGCGACGUCACGUUCCCUUUCUCCUGAUUUCUGACGUGCUUCCUCUUGGCCCUACUGGCUUUGUGUCUUGCCCUUCCCAGACAAGUUUCGGUUCGAGUGCGGUUGUCAUGUUAUUUAUCGCUGUUCCCCAAAUUCAAGUUUUGGACGUUUCGGGAUCGGCUGAAUCACGGCUGUGUCACGUGCACCAAAGUAAAGCAAAGGGAACACAGGACCUGAACAUUCAACUGAGAAACUUGGCCUCCAGUGACGUCGCCAUUUCCAAACUUUGAAGAGACGGUGAAGGGACGUGUGGGCAGGGGCGUUGUCGCAAUGGAGGAGCAAUGCGACGCAUGUUCAAAUCUUCUGUUAAAAUCUCCUGGAAAACUUCAUAACUGAUCCCAGCGGUGUCUGCGAGCUCUUGGGUCGUUCAGCUACGAUCUUCCUGGGUAAGAGUGUAGAGGCAUUCUUCACGCUUGUACGUACUACUCGGAUGUGAAGAGGAAAUCACAAGAGUGUUACAAGUAACUGAACUCUGGGCAUCCAGUCAAGAUUGAAUUAUCAUGUCAUGCACCAAAGGAAUUAGAGCACAUAAACUAA